UUUAGGGAGACCUACCCAACUCAGAAAUCGAAAACAAACAGUUAAUAGACAAUGAGAUGGUCUACUCUAGGUCGGUCGAGAAUUGGUAAAAGCUUUCAAAGUAUUAUCUGUUCGGUUUUUGCAGUCGGAAAUUAGAUAAAAAAAUUGUGGAUAAAGUUCAGCAAAAUGACUUAAGAAAAGUCAGACUGCUGGGUAAAAUCCAGCCAGAACCUUGAAAACUGCAUAGUAACGCGAAAUUAGCAGGCAGACACAGACAUUCAAAGAAGAGUCGUGUUUGUAGAAAGCAAAAGUAAAUGU
rnacentral:misc_RNA from 1 species